AGUGAACGCUGGCGGUAGGCCUAACACAUGCAAGUCGAACGGCAGCACAGUAAGAGCUUGCUCUUACGGGUGGCGAGUGGCGGACGGGUGAGGAAUACAUCGGAAUCUACUUUUUCGUGGGGGAUAACGUAGGGAAACUUACGCUAAUACCGCAUACGACCUACGGGUGAAAGCAGGGGAUCUUCGGACCUUGCGCGAUUGAAUGAGCCGAUGUCGGAUUAGCUAGUUGGCGGGGUAAAGGCCCACCAAGGCGACGAUCCGUAGCUGGUCUGAGAGGAUGAUCAGCCACACUGGAACUGAGACACGGUCCAGACUCCUACGGGAGGCAGCAGUGGGGAAUAUUGGACCAUGGGCGCAAGCCUGAUCCCGCCCUACCGCGUGGGUGAAGAAGGCCUUCGGGUUGUAAAGCCCUUUUGUUGGGAAAGAAAAGCAGCAGGUUAAUACCCCGCUGUUCUGACGGUACCCAACGAAUAAGCACCGGCUAACUUCGUG
rnacentral:rRNA from 1 species